AUAAAAUUGGCCACUUCUUUUAGUGAUAUGUGGGUUGGGUCAUCUUCUAGCCCCAAUAAACUUGCGCUGCCAGAUCCGCCACUGUUGUAAUCCCUCUUCUCUGGUCGCUGUCGCCGUGUUCGUCGCUGCUCGAGCUCGCCUUGGUCUUUCUGCUUUGGUCCGCUGUGUUCUUCUGCUCACGCCGUGCUGAAACCUCUGCUCUGCUUGGCAUUCUGAAACCUUUGCUCUGCUCCGAACCGUGGUGCCGUGCUCUGUCCUCUCAGGUAAAUCGACAACUCUCCACCGUUCACCUCUUUCUCUCAAGCCUCUCGCCUCAGGCUCGGUCCUCAGAGGUACAUAAAGCAGAACAAUGACCUUGCUCUCUGUGCACCCGGGAUGGCGGUGACCACACAGUAAAGAUAAUUGAUAAAAUUGUGAAACUGGAAGUUGCGUAAAGGUUCUAGUUGGUCAUAGAAGGACGCCUUGGUGGUAAGGUUGUAAUCUGGCUUUUCAUAGUUUGGGAUCAUCCUUGUUGAAUUGAAGUUGCUAGAGACAGAGCCAAGUAAAGCAAAGAGGAACAUGGUGGGGGUUUACAUCAAUAUUCAUUGUUCAAGACAUCAGUCUCCGAAAAUGGAAAAAUAGAAGCUAGGAAAAAAUGAAGGUGUAAGGAAAUUGGAAUAGUUAGUUAUGCCCUUCUUGUAUUGCUGAGUCAUUAGAUUUAUAGCUCUUCUUAAGUCAGAAUAUGUAUUUUGUUUAGAGACUUUUUAUUAAAUCGGCUCGUCAUAUUUUGAUAUGUGAAUUAGAAAUCUUUAUACAUUAUAUCUAAUGUUUUUUGAAAUUUUAACAUGAU